rnacentral:rRNA from 1 species
UACGAAGGGGGCUAGCGUUGCUCGGAAUCACUGGGCGUAAAGGGUGCGUAGGCGGGUCUUAAGUCAGGGGUGAAAUCCUGGAGCUCAACUCCAGAACUGCCUUUGAUACUGAAGAUCUUGAGUUCGGGAGAGGUGAGUGGAACUGCGAGUGUAGAGGUGAAAUCGUAGAUAUUCGCAAGAACACCAGUGGCGAAGGCGGCUCACUGGCCCGAUACUGACGCUGAGGCACGAAAGCGUGGGGAGCAACAGG